GUACAUUUGCCACCUGGCACUCUCACAGCCUUUCUCAUAAGAAUUCUAUCGAUUCUAUUGGUUGAUUUUUUAGAAUUUCUUUUUGAUUUAUUUUUUCCAUCGACACUACUAAAAAGGGAAGCCCUCUAAAUAUCAACCUUAUUUUGUAAUUUCGAUAUAUCAUUUAAUUCAUCGAUCCCACUAUAAUAGAAAAGUACCAUUGAAUACUAAUUGCAAGGAAAAAAAUAAUUUAAUGACCAAUUAACAUCACUUUUCAAAUGACUUACAUAAUAUUAUUUAUAACUAUUUAUGGUAACUAAUUGUAGAAAGUAUGAUAUAAAGCCAUUUUAUUAAUUCAAAUAAAUAUUUUAGAUUCCAAAUGAUUUACAUAAUAUUAUUAAUAACCAUUUAUGGUAACUAAUUGUCGAAAAUAUGGUAUAUAAAGUCAUUUUAUCAAUUCAAAUAAAUAUUUUGGUUUAUUAUUUUAUGUAGUCUAUAGAUAUAUAAGAAUAUAAAGUCAUUUUAUCAAAUCAAAUAAUUUAUUUUAAUUCAUUGAUCCCCUAUAAAAGGAAAGUAACAUUGAAUACUAAUUGAAAAGGAAAAAAUAAUUUAAUUCCCCUAUUAACAUUACUCGCGCAAAAAUAUUAGUUAAUACAUGUAAUAAUUAGUUUCCUUAUUACAAAUGGGAAGAAUUAUGUUGAUCUUAUUGAUUGAUUUUUUAGAAUUUAUUUUUCGAUUUAUUUUAAUCAUCGACAUUACUAAAAACGAAAUCACUUUAAUACUUAACUUUUGUGUUUUCUCGAUUCAAAGAACAUCUUUUUGCGAUCAUUUCUCUGUUUAACUCAUUAAAUACUCACUAAAUAUUUUAGAUCUCAGAGAAACAAAAUUAAUUGACAAGAUAUUUUCUCUACUAAAAUCAUGCAUUUAAAACUUAAUAUUUAUGGCGAGACUUGUCAACCAAAAUUCUUGUACAAUCUAUUCACGAGAUAUUCUCCUUUAGCUUUAUCAACAAGAUAUUCCAAAAAUAAUAUUACGUUAUAAAUAUAAGAUUUAUUGAGAAUUUAUUAAAAAAAUCUACUUCUUAGCUUAUCAUGCAAGCUAAAUCAAUGAGAAACGUCCACCAAUUUACUAUAAAUAAGACAUCCACAGUAGAAGAAACGAAAUCAUUGAACUUUGUAUUCUGAGCUUUUAAUGUUAAUAAUGUUCUGAAUUUUUUUUCUUCUUAUUUUAGAACAUUAAGCUUUUAUAUUUCAUGAGAGCUGGUAUUUCUUUUGGUUUAUAUGCAGAUACCCUAUUAUGACGAUUUAUUCACUGAAGCUAUAUAUCGAUUUGAUUGUACACCUCUUUGAUAUAUCAUUUCGAUAACAUCUUUGUUCCUCAAUCUGAGAUGAUUUGACGGAAGUGUUCAUAUUUCAGAUCUCUAAGAGUUCACCAUUCCGGUCCUGCAAAAGAUGUGCGCUUAGAAUGAAAACGUUUGCAAUUGCUACUUGGGAAAAACUCACAAGAUAUAUUAUGCAACCAAAGAAAAGGCUUGUGUUUAUCAGAAGAUCAAAUUAAGAGUUUAUCUUUGGAGGAGAUUGAAUCAAUCAUGCGUUUGAACGGAAGCUCAUUGACGUUGUUUAAGUUUUGAAAUGUGUUAUCAAUAGUAUACUCUUCUAUUGGUUAAGCUGUUGCUUUUGUUAGAUUUUCUAUUAAUUAAAUUUUUUGUUUUACUUUUGUGGAAUUCGCGAUAUUGUAAUGAUAUAAAUCAAUAAUAAAGAUAUUUUUCUCACUAUUAAUAGGUGAGAGAGAGAGAGAGAGAGAGAGAGAG